GAUGAACGCUGGCGGCGUGCCUAACACAUGCAAGUCGAACGGAGAUAGAGAGAAGUUUUCGGACAGACCUUUAUCUUAGUGGCGGACGGGCGAGUAACGCGUGGAUAACCUGCCUCUUUCUGGGGGAUAGCAGUUGGAAACGACUGAUAAUACCGCAUAAGUUCCUUUAAGCGCAUGCUUAGAGGAAGAAAGAUUUAUCGGGAAGAGAUGGAUCCGCGUCUGAUUAGCCAGUUGGCGGGGUAACGGCCCACCAAGGCGACGAUCAGUAGGGGUUCUGAGAGGAAGGUCCCCACAUUGGAACUGAGACACGGUCCAAACUCC
rnacentral:rRNA from 1 species